GAACGGUGACCUCCUGGUCCCUUGGUCGAACCUCAGCCCCUGAGCCGCGCCGGCCGGGCGGUGCUGAUGCCUCAUCAGGCUCCUGGCAGAUACGCUUUAGGACGUCUUUUCUGGCAUCUCCUAAAAUCCUGUUGAGAUCCUUGUUCUCUAAUGUUUAUUCUUAGCAAAUAAAUUAAGCACGUUCAUUGCCUCAGACACCAUGCGUUCCGCGGAAUGAAGGACAGAACCCCCUGAGGUACGUGGCUCCGCGUCCUGACCACUGAGAGCUCUGUGUCCGCCCGGGCGCAGCGUGUCCUGCUCUCCCCAGCUCCUGCCGCCAUGCCGCGGGCCGUCCUGAGCGCCGUCCUCCUCCUGGCCGUCUCCGCGCCGGCUGCCUUGGCGGUGGACUUCCUUGUUCCCACUGGCCAAGGGGCGAGCGUCCAAGAGACAAAGGUGAGCCUGCCUCCUGGCCUCCGAGGACCAGCAAUGGGAGGAGCCCCGUGCCCCCAGCUCUGUCUGCUGGGAGUUGGGGGCCGGAGGGGGCUGGCGUGGGAAUCACGCCCCCAUAAAAGCUGAGUCGUCGCCUAUGGGUGGCGCGUUUUCCAUGUCCCUGAGCCCUCUUCCCAUUCCUUAGCCCAGUUGCUUCAUACAACUCUCUUGUGGGCUAGAAGGCAGCAUUCUGCAUCAUUCGAUGGGUGAGGAAGUCAUGGCUGAAAUCCGGGCCUGUGUGUUGCACGGGGGGACAUUCAGCUGGGAUGUGCGAAGGCGCACAUCCUGCCUCCCGCACAGCAAGGCCCCGCAUGUAGUCACUUUGUCCCUUUCCAGCUACAUCCUAACGCCACUGCGCCUGCCGCGUUUGGGCCACUGCUGUCUGUGGCAUCCACACACGAGUCACGCGGCAACGCUCCUUAGGAAAGUCUAACCUUGAGGGACACUUUCCCUUCCGAAACCUGAUGUGACCGGGAAGCCCCGGGGGGGGGGGGGCUCGGGCUGCCGUCACCCUGUCCUGUAACGAAGGCCGGGUUGCAUCCUAGAAGGCGUUUACUGAGAAGGCCUGCCAACCAAGAAGGCAGGGCGCUUACAGGCGUUCAGAUCCCAUCUCCCAGCAGGUGCAGGGACAGGACUGCAGGGGAAGGGGCGGGGUGAGGCUGGGGACGGAAUGCAGCUACGUGCAGGCCUGGAGGCGCCCAGCCAGCCGGCAGCUACUGUCCUUAGUCACCGGGUGAUGAGAUGGUGUUUUGAUUCCUGGUGGGUCGGACUGACCCUGCUUAUCAGUUCUACUUGCUGGAGUCACAGCUGAGUCACCUCCAUCGCUUGGCACAGGCCUUGGGAAGGAAACUUAAGGAAAACUUAACCCCCUAUUCACGUAUAAGAAACUGAAUCCCCUAUUCAUAUAAGUACAUAUAUGUGUUCUAAGAUUUUAAAAUAAUAGGAUUAUUUAUCUAUCCCCCCCCCCCCAUCACUAACAGCCACCAUCGGGGUCGACACCUUCCCCCAGUGGCAGUGAGAACGGUCGGAGGACCUGGACGCAGGCACCCACAAGUGUCUGGCUCUCACCUCCAGGGCGUUUGCAUCAACAAUAUCAACCGGUGCUGGUUCGUCUCCUACAUCAAGCCAAGCGAGCCCAUCUGUGGCAGCGACCAGACCACCUACAACGGGGAAUGCCACCUCUGCUUCACCAUCCUAUACAAAAAGGUUAACAUAACUAAACUGCAUGGUGGACCUUGC